rnacentral:misc_RNA from 1 species
GCAAACUUGGUCAUUUAGAGGAAGUAAAAGUCGUAACAAGGUUUCCGUAGGUGAACCUGCGGAAGGAUCAUCAUUGAGAUAAUAUACUAACGGUCUGAUGCAGUGUGCAUGGUUCUCUUAGGUUUGCUUCGUGCGCCUAAUGAGGUGAUCAUGUACAUUGUCUCAUUCCUUAUACAAAUUCAUUUUGAACUGAUACAUUUUAUUAAAUAAAAAUACAACUUUCAACAAUGGAUCUCUUGGCUCCCGCAUCGAUGAAGAACGCAGC